AUGAUGUGUGGAAUGAAGAUGAGAGGGAAGUGGGAGGAUGUCCUGAAGCCUCUUUUGUGUUCUGUUGGUGGACCAGGAAGCGUAAUUGUUGUCACAACUCGGAGCCAGAAAGUGGCCUCUAUAAUGCAGACCCUUGGAACCCAUAAGCUAGCAUGUCUGAGUGAACAAGAUUCAUGGGAUUUGUUUGCACAGAAAGCAUAUAGCAACGGUGUAGAGCAAGAGCAAGCAGAGUUGGUCAGCAUUGGCAAACAUAUUGUCAACAAAUGCAGGGGGUUGCCUCUUGCUCUGAAGACAAUGGGUGGAUUGCUGAGUUCAAAGGAAAAAGUACAGGAAUGGAAGGCCAUCGAAGAAAGUAACAUUAGAGAUAAUGAUGGAGGCAAAUAUGAGGUCAUGCCCAUACUGAAGUUAAGCUACAAACACCUGUCGUCUGAAAUGAAGCAAUGCUUUGCAUUCUGUGCAAUUUUUCCCGAGGAUUAUGAGAUGGAGAAGGAUAUGUUGAUCCAACUAUGGAUGUCAAAUGGCUUUAUUCAAGAAGAGGGAGCAAUGGAUUUAAUACAGAAAGGAAAAUUAAUUUUUGAUGAGUUGGUCUGGAGGUCCUUCUUCCAAGAUAAGAAAGUGGUACUCAAAUCUCCUGUAUAUCAUUGCACCACACAGUAUAAGACAAUUGUAUGUAAAAUGCAUGACUUAAUGCAUGAUCUAGCAAAAGAUGUCACGGAUGAAUGUGCAAGUAUAGAAGAAUUGUCUCAGCAAAAAGAAUUGUUAAAAGGUGUUUGUCACAUGAAAAUGUCAAAGGCUGAAUUGGAACGAAUCGGUGGGUUAUGCAAAGGCAGAACAUACCUCCGCACUUUAUUAGCUCCUUCAGAAUCAUGGGAGGAUCAUAUUUAUAAUUUUCCAAGCAGAUCACACAAGGAUAUUAAGGAGUUGCAACAGGUAUUGGCAUCACUAAGAGCAUUGCAUUGCCCCCUUUCUCCAAUUGUCAUUUGCAAGGCCAUAAAUGCAAAACAUUUACGGUAUCUUGACCUCUCUGGGUCUGACAUCGUUAGGUUGCCAGAUUCAAUAUGUAUGUUGUAUAACCUGCAAACACUAAUGCUCAUACAUUGCCAGAAGUUGCAACAGUUACCAGAAGACAUCGCAAGAUUGAGAAAGUUCAUCCAUCUUUACCUUUUUGGAUGUGAUAGUCUCAAAAGUAUGUCUCCAAACUUUGGUCUACUUAACAACCUUCACAUAUUAACAACAUUUGUUGUGGGUACUAGAGAUGGCCUUGGGAUAGAGCAGCUCAAAGAUUUACAAUGCCUUAGCAAUAGUUUGGAAUUGUUGAAUUUGAACAAGAUAAAGAGUGGCCAGAAUGCAAAAGAAGCCAACCUCAAUCAGAAGAAAAAUCUAAGUGAGUUGUUCUUCUCUUGGGACCAAGAAAUAGAUGAUGGGCCUAGAGAUAUUGCCUGUAAUGUGGAAGAAGUGCUUCAGUGCUUAGAACCUCAUAGUAAUAUCCAUAAAUUGGAGAUACGUGGAUAUGGUGGCCUAGAAAUAUCACAAUGGAUGAGAAAGCCUGAGAUGUUUGACUGCUUGAGAGAACUCAAAAUGUCUAAUUGCCCAAAAUGCGAGUAUCCCUGUAAUAUGGUUCUCGAUGUCUCUAGAGAUUUUGGUCUUACAGAAGAUGGAUAA
rnacentral:rRNA from 1 species